AUGGUUUUCGUAGCACCUCUUCGGCAGAUGUCAUCUGGGAGUGUUCCUGGCUCUUCUGGAGAGAGCAUGAUUUACUAUCUCCUUGCUGGUGUUGCUGCUUUUGGUGGUUUAUAUUACGCUUACAGAACAGUCAGUUCAUCCCGCAGCAAGUAUAUUGAACAUAUGAAUAUUCUUCAUGAAAGAGCUGAGGGGCGGAAAAACAAACCUCUUUCACACAAGGGUGAUGAAGAGGAGACAACUGAAGUCACUGAAGCAGAAGCAGCCACAGAAGCGACUGAUACAGUAACUGCUGCUGGACCUGCAGCACAGGAUGAGAGUUCUGAGGUAUCCUCAGAAACUGGAGGGGAGAGUGGCUUACCAGCUGCUGUGGAGGGAACACAGGAGGAAGCUGCUGCUAACUUGGAAGCUGCUGCUAAUUCAGAAGCUGCUGCAGUGCAAGAAACUGUGGGUGAAGGCUUGGAUGUUGCAGUUUCUUCUGCCCAUGAGGAAAACUUAGACAGUGUCAAAGAAGGAGUAGCCUCAGCAGCUCAAGAGAUGUCUGACGUGGCCUCAAGGAACCAGGAAGCUGAUGCUGAGGAGUCUGGGCAAACUUCAGAAGUUUCCACGGAAGAGACGACACCUGAAGAUGUUGCUAAGGAUUCCUAAAGUGAGCAGCAUUGAAGCCUUUGAAAAGUUUAAUGGAAAUAUUUGGGCAGUCAACCAGCGGAUUCCUGUGCGAAACCUCGUACUCUGCCUUGGAGACAUAAAACAAAUUGUGCAGUUUGUCAUACCACACACUGCUUAUUAGGAUGAGUAUUCAUUACUGAAACAGACAACCUAAUACGAUUUAAGUUGGUUAGAGAGAUGCUUCUGUAAUUAACCACUCUGUUUUAGAAAGGAGCAUGUAGUAAUAAAUGUCAAAGCACCAUCCA
rnacentral:lncRNA from 1 species